UCUGGGAGCAGAGAGCUGCAGUUACUACUGACUGCAGUACUGCCAGGAGCCACUAGAUGCCCCCAUAUCCAUGGAGCCAUCUCAUCACCUACCAGGACUGAGGAACAAUAGAGAGACUGCCCGGGGGGUUGUGUCUAUCAGAGGAACUAAGUUAACUGUGAAAAAUAUGUGGGUGAUGAAGAAAAAGUAGUAUAAAUGGAUAUAGUAAAUCAUAACCAACAUAAAGCCAUUUCUAUGCUGCCCCCUAUAUAGUGCUGCCCUGUGCAGUAAUAAUACAAGGGAAGAUGUCAGCUAAAGACAUGUGGACAGCACUGCAGGCAGCAUACCAGGAUGGAGGUCUCAAGAGAAGAAUAAAUGUAAGAUGUGUAUUGUACAACACUAAGUUAUGUGAAUGCAGAAACAUGAGUGGCUAUAUUGACAAAAUUACGUUUGUUUUUCAACAAUUAACAUCUGUUGGAAUGCAAUGAGAUGAAGAGAUCGCUACAGCAAUGUUACAGAACUUGACAGCUGGUUUGACUUCCUAGUUGUGUUGAAAGCAACCACAGUAAAAAUAACCAUAGACACAGUCAGAGCAGAGAGAGUUACUACAGUUCCAAGAACAUGUACCCUACUACCCUGUGAGUUAAAUGCAAAAUUCAGAAAAUUCAACAUCAAGUGCUACAAUUGUCACAAAAUCUCAAAGAUGAGUCAGCCUUGAUUGUCACACAGAAAAGAUUGACGGUAUAUAAUUUUGGGUACAACAAGGCAUUUCAGCUAAUAUGAGUAAUAGUUCACCAUGUUAACCAAAUGUGACCCUAUACAAAUCGAUGGGAUUGGCAAUAAAGUACUUUACAGCUACUAAAA